rnacentral:rRNA from 1 species
UACGUAGGCAGCAAGCGUUGUUCGGAAUUAUUGGGCGUAAAGAGCUCGUAGGCGGCCUGUCGCGUCGACUGUGAAAACCUAGGGCUCAACCCUGGGCCUGCAGUCGAUACGGGCAGGCUUGAGUGUGGUAGGGGAGACUGGAAUUCCUGGUGUAGCGGUGAAAUGCGCAGAUAUCAGGAGGAACACCGGUGGCGAAGGCGGGUCUCUGGGCCAUUACUGACGCUGAGGCGCGAAAGCUAGGGGAGCAAACAGG